rnacentral:rRNA from 1 species
AGAGUUCGAUUAUGGCUCAGGAUGAACGCUGGCGGCGUGCCUAAUACAUGCAAGUAGAACGCUGAAGGAGGAGCUUGCUCUUCUGGAAGAGUUGCGAACGGGUGAGUAACGCGUAGGUAACCUGCCUCUUAGCGGGGGAUAACUAUUGGAAACGAUAGCUAAUACCGCAUAAAAGUCGACAUUGCAUGAUGUUGACUUGAAAGGUGCAAAUGCAUCACUAAGAGAUGGACCUGCGUUGUAUUAGCUAGUUGGUGAGGUAACGGCUCACCAAGGCGACGAUACAUAGCCGACCUGAGAGGGUGAUCGGCCACACUGGGACUGAGACACGGCCCAG